GACGAACGCUGGCGGCGUGCUUAACACAUGCAAGUCGAACGGAAAGGCCCCUUCGGGGGUACUCGAGUGGCGAACGGGUGAGUAACACGUGAGUAACCUGCCCUUGACUUCGGGAUAACUUCAGGAAACUGGGGCUAAUACCGGAUAGGAAUCCUUGCUGCAUGGUGGGGGUUGGAAAGCUUCGGCGGUUUUGGAUGGACUCGCGGCUUAUCAGCUUGUUGGUGGGGUAGUGGCUCACCAAGGCUUUGACGGGUAGCCGGCCUGAGAGGGCGACCGGCCACAUUGGGACUGAGAUACGGCCCAGACUCCUACGGGAGGCAGCAGUGGGGAAUAUUGCACAAUGGGCGGAAGCCUGAUGCAGCGACGCCGCGUGCGGGAUGACGGCCUUCGGGUUGUAAACCGCUUUCAGCAGGGGCGAAGCUUGUGGUGACGGUACCUGCAGAAGAAGCACCGGCUAACUACGUG
rnacentral:rRNA from 1 species